GAAGACCAUCUUCACUGGCCUGGAUCUUCCUUCCCCCAACCAAAACAAAAAACCAGUUAGCAGCCAGCACUUGCAUCACACACCUGCUAAGUGCGAGAAAUUCUGUGUUAGUUAUUUCUAUUUAAGCUACCUCAUUCUUAGUUCUCUAAACUAUGUGUGACAGCAGCUCAUUUAUUCUUCCUCAAAAUUCUGUAGUGCAGAUAAAGCUACUUCCUUAAUGGAUGAGGAUACUGAAUGAAAUUUGCCUGGGUAAAAUACUCAGGAAAAGACAGAUUUAGGAUUCCAAUGUUGGUCUUCUUGGCUUCGGGUUCUAGGCUAUUUCCAAAUCCCCUGAAGCUUCUCAGUUUGGGAAUGCCUGAGUCAGGGAGACCAUUUAGGCUGGAAAGGACACGGUUGAUGAAAUACACUGAGAAGGUUCCACAUAUGAGGUCUCUCCAGAGAUGUCUGGAAUUCCUCAGUCAGAAUCUCUGUUUUCGGCUAAGGUGCAUUUACAAAGGGGCAGCAGAGGCUCUCAGUACUGACCUGGGGGGCACACAGCCCCCUGUUCCAGUGGGUCUCUAGAUCAGAUGGCACCACCAGCCAACGGAGGGCACAGGUGAGUAUGGAUGUCAGGAGAGGAUGAAGAGGCUUCAAGAAGAGGCCGGAAGAGCUGGAAGAGUCAAUGCAACAGGGCACUUCAGAUUCUUUAGACUGCCAAGAUUAAGGGCAAAUGGCCAGUGGUGACCCCUACUUAGGCGCCAAUGAA
rnacentral:lncRNA from 10 species